UCGAGGCAUUUUUUAAUUAAAUUUUUUGACUAAUAUGUGGUGUUCAUACAUUUGUAUGGUAGUAUAGGGAAGUAUCACAAACUCAAACCCUUUCAGGGGAUCCUGCAGUUAACAUAUGUGAAUGAAACAGCUAUAUUAAAAUGUAUCCAUCGUCUUUUAAACACAAUGGCAUCAUUCUUUAAGCACAUCAUCUUAAAGAAAGAAAGAAAGGGAAAAUGAGAUGGAAGGAGGCCGGCUGGAAAAAAAGAGAAAAAUAUUCAGGUUAAAUUUUCUAAUAGAUGCAUCAUACACAGGGUAGUAUAUUUAUGGAAAACUGCUCCCAAAUUCAGGUUGCAAGUGAGUGCUAAGGUGACUUUAAAAAAAUUAUUAUUUUUAUUUUGUAAAGACUUGUACCUAUACCAAAUCAUUUCCUCCCCUAUUACAAAUGCUUGCCUACAAUAUCCUUUGGUGAAUAAUAGUGCAAUUCAAAUGACAUCUAAUCAGAACAUCGUUUUCAUAAUUGAUCUGAUAUUUGCAGUGCCUUUUCUUAAUCUUUGAGGAUGUUUUGUAGCAGGGACUCUGCCUAUCUGUUUGAAUUAAAUAGGAGAAAUGGAAGUAUCAGCUCUUAGAUAACAAUGGAUUUAAAAUCAGAAAGUAGAUAUAAUGCAAAUGAUGGCUUAUUUUUAAUUUGUGCCUCUGAGAAAAAGAUUUUUAUCAUGGUGCAAACAAAACUUGCAUAAGUUAUGAAAUGCAUUAUUUAAAACUAGCUUGUUUUCUCUUAAUGAAUUACAAACAUGUGUAUUUGCUUAUGAUAUUUAGCCUGAAAAGUUUUAAACAGGAGUUGUACAUUGUUUUUCCUCCUUCUUUAAUGUU
rnacentral:lncRNA from 1 species